GAUGAACGCUGGCGGCGUGCCUAAUACAUGCAAGUCGAACGAAACUUCUUUAUCACCGAGUGCUUGCACUCACCGAUAAAGAGUUGAGUGGCGAACGGGUGAGUAACACGUGGGCAACCUGCCCAAAAGAGGGGGAUAACACUUGGAAACAGGUGCUAAUACCGCAUAACCAUAGUUACCGCAUGGUAACUAUGUAAAAGGUGGCUAUACUACCGCUUUUGGAUGGGCCCGCGGCGCAUUAGCUAGUUGGUAAGGUAAAGGCUUACCAAGGCAACGAUGCGCAGCCGAACUGAGAGGGGGAUCGGCCACACUGGAACUGAGACAAGGUCCAGACUCCUACGGGAGGCAGCAGUAGGGAAUCUUCCGCAAUGGGCGAAAGCCUGACGGAGCAACGCCGAGGGAGUGAUGAAGGUCUUCGGAUCGUAAAACUCUGUUAUUAGGGAAGAACAAAUGUGGAAGUAACUAUGCACGUAUUGACGGUACCUAAUCAGAAAGCCACGGCUAACUACGUG
rnacentral:rRNA from 1 species